UAUUCUUUCUCCCUAGAAGUGUCUCCUGGUCUCAGCUAUUUCUUCUACGUGGCCAGAUCUCGAGUAUAUGCUUCUAGUCCUGCUUUCUCAUUCAAAGCCAUAUUCCCAACUGUUACUUGUUUCCCUUGGAUCACCCAUUGGUCAUCCCCACAUAAAUUCAAUUCAGUUUGUUUUCCCUGAUUGAUCUUUAAAAUUUUGGUUGAGUUUAUCCAUGCUGACUCUAUGUUGGCAAUUUCUAUCCAUCCUUCAUAGCUUGGUCCUUUGAGAUCAAGGUGAACUCGCUUGUCAGUGAAACAGUCCUCCAAACUCUUGAAGUCAACUAUAAACACUUCUGGACUGAGUGAUCAACUAUGUUAUGGUAUGAAGUUGAGGCCAAAUAACCCACCAUCAUAUCACGUGGCUGUUUUAUGAACAGUACCUGAGUGAUAAGGAAUGUUGGUCUACAAGAGGUAGGAACUGUUAAUAGGAUACGGACUUCCCCUGAGCGGCAGUGGGUAGGAAACUGAAGACACCUGAGUGAGAACAGAGAGUUGGAUGGGUGGGGCAUCAGCAGCAAAAUCACUUAAAAAGAGUUUGCCAAACUGUCCAUCUCCUUAGAAGCUCUCUAGCCCUGCUUGGCAUCUGUGAUAAUGAAGCCCCUUGUGGGAUUAUCCAUGCUGUUCUUGUCAUUAUCUCAGGCACAGUUUCAUUCUUUUGGAGUGUGGACAACUUGUAUCGACGAAAGACUUACGGUCAUUGUGGAGAAAAAUAUUUUUCGAAAUGGUACAAUUCUGCAACCUAACCAAGUGAUUCUGGGAAAUGGCUGUCAAGUAACUUCAUCUUCUCCAUAUCGAUUAUACUUGUCCUAUAGCCUAUCGCAAUGUGGGAUAGAUGUACAGAUAACACCCGACAUGAUUUAUAUCCGCAGUGUUUUGUACUUUUUAUGUGAAGAACGGUUACCUUGUCCCUGUGUUACUAUACCUCUGGUUUGUCAGAUUGCCAGGACAUUCACUCUAGAAGAAUUCAUUUUUGGCGAUUGGUCUGAUCUAGAUAACAUCUUUGCUCUUUGA
rnacentral:lncRNA from 1 species